ACUAUUUUGGCAGAUAAGUGUAUUAAAUUUAGAAUUUAAUUAUAUAGAAUAAAAUUCUAUAAAUAGUA
rnacentral:tRNA from 1 species